UAAGAAAUGGUGCAAAUGUGGAGAGACUAUUGAACGCCUUGAAAGGAUUAUUUCGGAUCUCACCGAACAAGUUUUUUCCUCUCGAGAUCAAUGCAAUUAAAAAUUUAAUAUUAAAUGGCGGAAUAUUAAAAAACUAAAAAAAUAUUUUAGCCAAUGAAGUGGUCUUGGCGUAUAAUGUGGAUGGGGUUCAGGGGAAAGCUGCCCUAAGAAAAGAAGACAAUUUCUUUGGCGUUAUGAUCGAUUCAAUAACUGCAGUCGGCGGUAUUGGCCCAGC